rnacentral:rRNA from 1 species
GACGAACCUUGCUAACGUUAUUCGGAAUUACUGGGCUUAAAGGGUGCGUAGGCGGUGCAGAAAGUUGGGUGUGAAAGCCCUCGGCUCAACCGAGGAAUUGCGCCCAAAACUGCUGCACUAGAGGAAGACAGAGGUACGCGGAACUUUAGGGUGGAGCGGUGAAAUGCGUUGAUAUCCUAAGGAACACCGGUGGCGAAAGCGGGCGUACUGGGUCUUAUCUGACGCUGAGGCACGAAAGCUAGGGAGCGA